rnacentral:ncRNA from 1 species
CGACCCCAGGUCAGGCGGGACUACCCGCUGAGUUUAAGCAUAUCAAUAAGCGGAGUCAAAGAAACUUACAAGGAUUCUCCUAGUAACGGCGAGCGAACCGGGAACAACCCAGCAUUAGAAUCGGGCGGCUCCGUCGUCCGAAUUGUAGUCUGGAGAAGCAUCCUCAGCGGCGGACCGGGCCCAAGUCCCCUGGAAGGGGGCACCAGAGAGGGUGAGAGCCCCGUUGUGCUCAGACCCUGUUGCACCACGAGGCGCUGUCUACGAGUCGGGUUGUUUGGGAAUGCAGCCCAAAUUGGGCGGUGAAUUCUGUCCAAGGCUAAAUACGGGCGAGAGACCGAUAACGAACAAGUACCGCAAGGGAAAGAUGAAAAGGACUUUGAAAAGAGCAUCAAAGUGAGAGCUUCCAACACUCUUAGAGCUUUACCAGAGAUCGCAAGGUAGCUGCACGGCGUUCGCAGCCUGCUUUCCUCCUGCCUAUCUUAGUAUUGUGUCUUUCAGACUUAUUUUGUAUUAUUCAGACAAUGUUUUGGUUGUAUUUAGAGGCUCAUGACUAGUGAUACCGAAUUCGGGUUGUGUUAUUAUAUUUUAUCUGAUUUUUGCACAUUUCUGUUGAGUUAUAUAUUACAUAUGAAGAAUUUGAGAUUUAAUCUGUUUUAGAAAAUGAAUUUUUAUAAAAAGAAUAUGAUGGGGU